rnacentral:rRNA from 1 species
GAUGAACGCUAGCGGCAGGCUUAAUACAUGCAAGUCGAGGGACAGCACAGGUAGCAAUACUGGGUGGUAACCGGCAAACGGGUGCGGAACACGUACACAACCUUCCUUUAAGUGGGGGAUAGCCCAGAGAAAUUUGGAUUAAUACCCCGUAAUAUAGUUGAAUGGCAUCAUUUGAUUAUUAUAGCUACGGCGCUUAAUGAUGGGUGUGCGGCUGAUUAGAUAGUUGGCGGGGUAACGGCCCACCAAGUCUACGAUCAGUAGCUGAUGUGAGGGCGUGAUGAGCCACACGAGCACAUAGACACGGGCCCGACUCCUACGGGAGGCAGCAGUAAGGAAUAUUGGUCAAUGGACGCAAGUCUGAACCAGCCAUGCCGCGUGAAGGAUUAAGGUCCUCUGGAUUGUAAACUUCUUUUAUCUGGGACGAAAAAGGGCCUUUCUAGGUCAACUGACGGUACCAGAUGAAUAAGCACCGGCUAACUCCGUGCCAGCAGCCGCCGUAACAC